UCUCCUCGUUUUGUACUGUAAUUGUUAAAAUGUUGUUGUCUUUGUUGCUUAUUCUUCAAAUAGUUUCACUCUUCCAUCCAUUGCCCACUGGUUCAUGAGCAUCUGUUUUAGUUUAAUUUGCCCGUUAACAGCUCUGUGUUACCCAAUUUUUAUUACUACGAAUUGAUUAGUAUUUGUGUUACCUCCAUAAAAAAAAUUUUAUUGUGUAUUUACUGCGAGUUCUAUUCUUUUCAGUAAGUAUAUAAACUUAAUCGAAUUACCAUGGGCGCUAUUAUAUUAUAACUGUGUGAGGUGAUUUAAAUUUUGCUGCUUGGACAAGCGCGUACUAUGAGCUUCGCAAGUUUCCUCAAGGUUUUCCUGCUCUUUCUUCUAUUCGUUCAAAUAAGCCUGUCUACCAAUUCAGGCGAGUUAUCCGUUGCCAAACCGAGAUGGUACUAUCUUCGUUGUGUUGAAUGUUACCGGCCAGAUGCUAAGGGAGAAGCAUGUGUGAAGAUACCAGGAUGCAUCAAAAAUAGCUCAUUUUUCCAAAAACUAAUGGCGUCUGGCUGGUUCUGAUGGACGGACUCUGUAGCUUAAUCUGUAAGCUACAUGACUCACUUCCUCCGCGCGUUUAUUCGCAAAAAAAAACGGGGAAGAACUUUAAUUAAACUUUAUUAUUAUUAACUGGACUGUUAUUAAAAGCCUCAGCAGAAUGUUCCGAUGAGGAUAUUGCGCAGCGACUGUAAUGUGAGCUAAUCUUUGCCUUAGCAUUUCUCCAAUAACAGCGGAGGCCAGCAUGUCAUGCAUUCCAUCCAGCAGGAGGGAAAAGUUACAAGUGAUCACAAAAACAAUAAAAAAGGUCAUUCUCAAGAGGAAAGUUGACAUUAAGCAAGUUCAAUGAAGGUCAAUGAAGGAAAAACUUGGUUCAGCAAGCUGAUCCGAUAUCUGGCAGGAUAUCCGUGACGAUUUUGGAAAGUGGAAUGAUGUCUUGGGAAUCAGGGGUGGGUUUUAGGUCAACCAUGAUUCAGCUGAAACACAUGCGAAGUGGAAGCAUGCGCAAAUCGGUUUUAGCUGGGAAAAUUCACUAAACUAUUGUUACAAGUUUUA